rnacentral:rRNA from 1 species
AGCAGCCGCGGUAAUUCCAGCUCCAAUAGCGUAUAUUAAAGUUGUUGCAGUUAAAAAGCUCGUAGUUGGACCUUGGACCUGGACAGGCGGUCCGCCUCACGGCGAGUACUGUCUUGCUGGGUCUUUCCUCUUGGUGAUCUGUUGUUUCGGCAGCAGGGAACCAGGACCUUUACUUUGAAAAAAU